UUGGUGUGUCAUAAAGGUGGGGAUAUACUUUCCACCUACGCAAGGGUCCGCCAAGUUUCCAUGGACGUCAAGCCCAAACUUUCUGACCAUGCAGAAGCUACACUACAAUGGCAGUAGAGUGCAGAACAUGGAGAUGCAAUCUAAUGUACAUGUAUACAACCAAGUCCUCCAAGCAGACUGGAGAGUAACAACACCAAUCAGUUGUAGUGUCUGUAGCUGUCUGUAUGCACAUCCCCAAGAGUAUAAUUAAGGCUUAACAGGUCCUCCAGUAGUGAGAGGCCUCUUGCAGCAUAACUACAGAUGGUCCAGAUACAGCAGAUCAGGUGACAAAAUGUCAGGCCUGCCUCGGCAGGCUCUGGCUAGGGCUCCUCCCUCCUCUGGUUUGUUUCCUUUUUAGGUUUUGUGUACGGUGGCAGCGGCGGCAGGUGCGAGCAAUCUGGUGAAUCUGCUGAAACAGGAACAGGUGUGCCAGGACCAAUCGGUCAUCGUCCUCUACACCAUUUAUUGGGACUCCAGUCAUCAGUUCGACGCCGGAUCGUGAAUGCUCACAUUCGGACCCCACCUGCUCUGCUGACUGGGCCAUCUUGGCCGACUGGACUCGUCAACGCCUCUGCGUUCCAAGCCGACUUCGGGAUCAACUCCGUCCCUCUUCAGCCCUCCGUCCAAACCUCCAUCUGCUGUCGCUGCCGAAACCACCAGCUCCUGCCCCAGCCCAUUAGCACCCAAGCCGACAGUACGGCCUCAAACAUGAGCAGGUUCUAGUUCUGUUUUUAGAGUACGUUUUGUCAUAGGCCCCGGCUUGUUUGUGGUACUGGCUAAUUGAUUCACCCGGUACUUUUGUUAUUCGCUCUAGGUUAUAGUGUAGUGAUAGGUUAUAGUAUAGUGAUUGCGAACUUCGUUUUUAGUGAGCUACGUGUUUUCAUAGUCUCGAGUUCCACUUUAGUUUGAGAUUUCUUAGUUAUAGUUCAGCCUCUGUACGUAGUGAUCAUAGUUGCGCUUUCGCCUCAAGUAUCCUUAGUUUGUGUUCUUAGGUGCUCAACUAAUCUUCAGCCCUAGCUAUUUUAGUUGUGAACUCUCCUGCCCAGGUUGUGCCUGCCGUGGGUCAGUUCUUUGUGUUCUCGAGUUUUCCUGUAGUUCGUACCGCCCGCCAUUAGGGGCACUCUAGCUCUGAAGUAGAGUUAUUGUAUCUGGUCCCUUUCUGGAUACUAGACCUUAGGGAAUUGUAGUCCCAGUCACCUUUUGUUAUAAUAAUAAAUCAUUGUUAGCACCUGCUGUCUCUUUCUCUUUUCCUGCGCCUGAGCCUUAAAGAAAACCCGUAACCCAAAAACCACCUCAAAACAGUUUGCUUUUAAGUAUUCUUGUUUCUAGGGUAGCGACUGAUGAUGAAAUAGCACAUCGAUUUUCUACAGUCAUGUCCUAAUAUUAACCCUUCAUUCCAUUACCCAUUUGUUAUUUAUGGAUCAUGAUACCUUUUGUUGUCUACCAGACUCCUUUAUUCAAUCACCUCUUGUUCUUUUUCUCUUACCCUCUCUCACUGAUUAGCAACUAUGCGCAUACCAACCACUAUUAACUUUGGUAUUUAUAUACAGCCCCUCCCUACCCUCUGACCAUCGCUUUAAAAUGUGUACUCUGCAAAUGUUUGGGGUUGGCUUACCUUUGCAGACUGUGUUGGUAAACCCACUGCAUAACAGAAUACUAGUACACAACUCAUUACAGCAAACUUCAGAGGACACAGAGUGAAUUUCCUUCAACACAGAUAAAUGGCUUAUGUCUUUUCUGAAGCACUUUUCCUUGACCUGAAGAGAAAACAUCACAAGUCAUAGAUGUGAAGGAGAUUCAUGCAGACUGAAGUAAAUACAAACAUCUUGGUAAGAGAAUCCAACAGCACUCAUACUAAGACAUGUAAUCAUACACCAGUGAUUCAGGUCUGCCACAGAGGGAGCAUUGCUUUGAAUGUUGCUGCUGACUGUAGGUUGGCAUCAUCUCCUUCCUUUCAUAAAGGAUAAAAAAAAUGCUAAAGCCAAGUCUUUUAUUUGCCACAUGGAGCAUUAUUUGGCACUACAAUUUAACCCUGCCAAUUUAGAUAUUGAGGUUUAUAUUAUUAAAGUGUUAAUGGUGUGAUUUUACCUGAGUAAUAACAAAUUAGGGAUUAAAACCCUACAAAAAUGAUAUAAAAUACUUCUUUACCUGACUGCAACAUAUACAGUUGCAAGAAAAAGUAUGUGAAUCAUUUGGGAUUACUUGGAUUUCUGCAUAAAUGGAUGCUAAUCUUCAUCUGAGUCACAACAAUAGACAAACACAGUCUGCUUUAACUAAUACCAUACAUAAAAUUAUGUUUUCAUGUUUUUUAUGGAAUACAACAUGUAAACAUUCACAGUGCAGAAUGGAAAAAGUAUGUGAACCCCUGGGCUAAUGACUUCUCCAAGAGCUAAUUGCAGCCAGGAGUCAGCCAACCUGGAGUCCAAUCAAUUUGAUGAGAUUGAAGGUGUUGGUUAAAGCUACUCUGCCCUAUAAAAAAAAAAAAACAAAAAACACACACACCAGUUCCGAGUGUUACGGUUUCCAAGAGGCUCAGGCGCAGGAAAUGAGAUGACAGACAGGAGUAUAAAGAAUCAAGAAUUUUACAGAUGUUAACAGAAUAGGACUACAAAACCCAACUGGAAGACUACAACCGGAAAUGCCAAAUAAAACUAGAUCCUACAGACACAGGCUGACUCAGGAAGACCACUAGCAGGCGGGUGGAAUAAUUACAUUAAGUAGAAUACGCUAGCUCAUGGAGGUUAAAACCCAGGCAAGAAAGAUACAGAGAAAUACAUGAGUAAUAAGAAACAAAGUUACGAAUACUAACUUGUAAGCUAUGCAAGAAUACAACAACUAGUAGACUAAACUACAGGUUUGUGACAGGAGACGCCAGUGACAGUGAAUGGUACAGGUGAGUGAAUCCAAGUUGAGUUGCCAGCACAGGUGGAGGGAAUAUGGUUACAGGUGUUUGAGCCACGGAGUCGGAGGAACCAGGUGGAACGGAGCAGGAGCAGAUGGAAUCCAGAUUGGAAGAGAACAAAGACAAAAUUACCAAGAGUUCCAAAAGGUUUCAGCGGCUGGAAAGAACAGUGCAGAGAACUGACUACUGAUAGAAUCACGGUCCAGCAUGGAAUGGUGAGUGGCGUCUGAUUUUAUUGCAGCAGGAGUGGCUCUUGAUUGGAUGCGUUCCACCUGCUCCUGCAUCGGCUGAUGCUGAUUGCUGAUCACAAUCACCUGCCGCUGCAGCCUCUGUGCCAAGCACACCUAGGAGAAAAAGAAAGGGUGGGGGAAGGGGAGAGCACUAUCUAGGCCUCAGCAGCAGGCCUGACACUGAGUUUGCUGUUCUCAAGAAGCAUUGCCUUAUGUGAACCAUGCCUCGCACAAAAGAGCUCUCAGAAAACCUACGAUUAAGAAUUGUUGACUUGCAUGAAGCUGGAAAUGGUUACCAAAGUAUCUCGAAAAGCCUUGAUGUUCAUGUGUCCAUGGUAAGACAGACUGUCUGCAAAUGGAGAAAGUUCAGCACUGUUGCUACUCUCCCUAGGCAUAGUCAUCCUGAAGAUGACUGCAAGAGCACAGCAUAGAAUGCUCAGUGAGGUGAAGAAGAAUCCUAGAAUGUCAGCUAAGGACUUACAGAAAUCUCUGCCACAUGUUAACAUUUUUGUCGACAAAUCUACAAUAAGUAAAGCAUUAAACAAGAAUGCAGUUCAUGGGAGGACACCAGAGGAAGCCACUGCAGUCCCAAAAAAACAAACAUUGUUUCCAUGUUUGAAGUUUGGAAAAGAGCACCUGGAUAUUUCACAGCACUACUAUCAAAAUAUUCUGUGGACAGAUGAAACCAAAAAUUUAGUUGUUUGGAAGGAGCAUGCAAUGUGUGGAGGGGAAAAAAAGGCACAGUACACCAGCAUCAAAACUGUGAAAUAUAGGGAAGGGUGCAUCAUGGUUUGAGGAGGCUUUGCUGCCUUAGGGGCUGGACGAAUUCCUGUCAGACAAAAAUGAAUUCCCAAGUUUAUCAAGACAUUUUGCAGGAAAACGUAAGACCAUCUGUCCGCCAACUGAAGCUCAACAGAGGAUGGGUGAUGCAACAGGACAACGAGCUAAACCAUAGAAAUAAAUCAACAACAGAUUGGCUUCAACAAAAGAAAAUACACUUUCUGCAGUGCCUAGUCAGAGUCCUCACCUCAACCCGAUUGAGAUGCUGUGCCAUGACCUCAAGAGAGCGAUUCACACUUGACAUCCCAAGAAUAUUGCUGAACUGAAACAGUUUUGUAAAGAGGAAUGGUCCAGAAUUCCUCCUGACUGUUGUGCAGGUUUGAUCUGCAACUACAGUAAACAUUUGGUUGAGGUUCUUGCUACUAAAGAAGGGUCAACCAGUUAUUAAAUCCAAAGGCUCACAUUUUUUCCACCCUGCUCUGUGAAUGUUUACAUGUUGUGUUCAGUAAAAACAUUAAAACAUCA